AUAAUAUCCUUCCACAUUUGCACACUUCAAAUAACCUAAGAUCAGCCAUAUGUGGCAUCAUCCCUUACAUUUAGAGACUAUCAUCUAGUUUUGAGAUUAAGAUGCCAUCUUUUAUGGGGUUAUAUCACCUCAAUUUUUGUCCUUGAAACUCAUCUUUAGGUACACUCAUCGGCCAAUGACCAAGAUCCUGAGGUGGACCUCGGUAGCAAGCAUCAUUUGAAUGUCCCGCUCCCUCUGCAUCGAGGAGGACUUCGAUGACAAGCAUCAUCUGAAUGCCUUACUCCUUCUGCACCA
rnacentral:lncRNA from 1 species